CUUCCGCCGGCGACCGGCGCACGGGUGAGUAACACGUAUCCAACCUGCCGAUGACUCGGGGAUAGCCUUUCGAAAGAAAGAUUAAUACCCGAUGGCAUAGUUCUUCCGCAUGGUAGAACUAUUAAAGAAUUUCGGUCAUCGAUGGGGAUGCGUUCCAUUAGCUUGUUGGCGGGGUAACGGCCCACCAAGGCAUCGAUGGAUAGGGGUUCUGAGAGGAAGGUCCCCCACAUUGGAACUGAGACACGGUCCAAACUCCUACGGGAGGCAGCAG
rnacentral:rRNA from 1 species